UGCAGUCGACGGUAACAGCACUUCGGUGGCUGACGAGUGGCGAACGGGUGAGUAAUACAUCGGAACGUGCCCGAGAGUGGGGGAUAACGCAGCGAAAGCUGUGCUAAUACCGCAUACGAUCUACGGAUGAAAGCAGGGGACCGCAAGGCCUUGCGCUCAUGGAGCGGCCGAUGGCAGAUUAGGUAGUUGGUGGGAUAAAAGCUUACCAAGCCGACGAUCUGUAGCUGGUCUGAGAGGACGACCAGCCACACUGGGACUGAGACACGGCCCAGACUCCUACGGGAGGCAGCAGUGGGGAAUUUUGGACAAUGGGCGAAAGCCUGAUCCAGCCAUGCCGCGUGCAGGAUGAAGGCCUUCGGGUUGUAAACUGCUUUUGUACGGAACGAAAAGGUCUUUUCUAAUAAAGAAGGCUCAUGACGGUACCGUAAGAAUAAGCACCGGCUAACUACGUGCCAGCAGCCGCGGUAAUACGUAGGGUGCAAGCGUUAAUCGGAAUUACUGGGCGUAAAGCGUGCGCAGGCGGUUAUAUAAGACAGAUGUGAAAUCCCCGGGCUCAACCUGGGAACUGCAUUAUUGACUGUAUAGCUAGAGUGCGGCAGAGGGGGAUGGAAUUCCGCGUGUAGCAGUGAAAUGC
rnacentral:rRNA from 1 species